GACGAACGCUGGCGGCGUGCUUAACACAUGCAAGUCGUACGGUAAGGCCCUUUCGGGGGUACACGAGUGGCGAACGGGUGAGUAACACGUGAGUAACCUGCCCACAACUUUGGGAUAACGCUAGGAAACUGGUGCUAAUACUGGAUAUGUGCUCCUGCUGCAUGGUGGGGGUUGGAAAGCUCCGGCGGUUGUGGAUGGACUCGCGGCCUAUCAGCUUGUUGGUGGGGUAGUGGCCUACCAGGCGGCGACGGGUAGCCGGCCUGAGAGGGUGACCGGCCACAUUGGGACUGAGAUACGGCCCAGACUCCUACGGGAGGCAGCAGUGGGGAAUAUUGCACAAUGGGCGCAAGCCUGAUGCAGCAACGCCGCGUGCGGGAUGACGGCCUUCGGGUUGUAAACCGCUUUCAGCAGGGACGAAGCUUUUUGUGACGGUACCUGCAGAAGAAGCACCGGCUAACUACGUG
rnacentral:rRNA from 1 species